rnacentral:rRNA from 1 species
AUGGCCGUGUACACCAAGAUCUUCCUCAAGUUCCCUAGGAGGUUCUGGCCAGAGGCGCCUGGCAAGGAAUUCUUCCUCUAUGCUAGUGAUAGGCGAGGGUACUAUCCGGUAUGGCAACAGUUCAAGAAGGAGUACCCAGGGUCAGACGUGUUGCUCGUGACAGUUAGCGACGACGAGUCGAGGAGGAUCGAGCAACAAUCAGACAACCAGACCAUGGCGGAGGCGAUGGAGGUGCUGAGGAAGAUGUUCCCUGGGAAAGAUGUGCGGGACGCCACCGAGAUCCUCGUGCGGAGGUGGUGGUCCAACAGGUUCUUCAAAGGCACCUUCUCCAACUGGCCUAGCGUUAACCGUUACGAAUACGACCUCAUUCGGGCUCCCGUUGGGAGGGUUUACUUCACUGGUGAGCACACGAGCGAAAAGUACAAUGGCUAUGUCCAUGGAGCGUAUCUUGCAGGUAUUGACUCUGCUGACAUUUUGAUCAACUGUGUCAAGAAAAAUAUGUGCACUUACAAUGUCAAGGGAAAGCAUGACUAA